GUUCUCACUUUAGCAGCACAUAUACUAAAAUUGAAAUGAUACAGAGAACAUUAACAUGGCUCCUGCACAAAGAUGACACAAAUUUUUGAAGUGUUCCAUAAACAC
ensembl:snRNA U6 U6 spliceosomal RNA